rnacentral:rRNA from 1 species
GUCCCAGCAGCCGCGGUAAUACGUAGGUGGCAAGCGUUAUCCGGAAUUAUUGGGCGUAAAGCGCGCGUAGGCGGUUUUUUAAGUCUGAUGUGAAAGCCCACGGCUCAACCGUGGAGGGUCAUUGGAAACUGGAAAACUUGAGUGCAGAAGAGGAAAGUGGAAUUCCAUGUGUAGCGGUGAAAUGCGCAGAGAUAUGGAGGAACACCAGUGGCGAAGGCGACUUUCUGGUCUGUAACUGACGCUGAUGUGCGAAAGCGUGGGGAUCAAACAGGAUUAGAUACCCUCGUAGUCC